rnacentral:rRNA from 1 species
CCCUUAGAUGUUCUGGGCCGCACGCGCGCUACACUGAUGCAUUCAACGAGCCUAUCCUUGACCGACAGGUCCGGGUAAUCUUUGAAUCUGCAUCGUGACGGGGAUAGAUUAUUGUAAUUAUUAAUCUUCAACGAGGAAUGCCUAGUAGGCGCAAGUCAUCAGCUUGCGUCGAUUACGUCCCUGCCCUUUGUACACACCGCCCGUCGCUCCUACCGAUUGAACGGUCCGGUGAAAUCUUGGGAUUUGCUUUGCUUUCGUUUAUUCGAUGCUCGGCGAAGAACUUGAGUAAACCUUACCGUUUAGAGGAAGGUGAAGUCGUAACA